CUCUCUCUCUGCCCCUCCCCUGCUCAUGUAUGGACUCUCUCUCAAAAUAAAUUAAAAAAAAAAAAAAAAAAGAAAUAGGGUCUUUGCUGAUGAUUAAAGUGAGGUUUUAAGGUUUUUAGGGUGGAUCCUAAUCCAAUAUGCCUAGUAUCUUCAUAAAAAGGGAAAAUUUGUACACGGACAUGUACAAGGGGAAGACUGCAGGAAAACACAAGGAGAACACCAUCUACAAGCCAAGCAAUUCUGGAAGCCACCAGAAGGUAAGAGAGAAGCAUGGAAGAUUCUUCCUCAGAACCCUCAGAGGGAACCCAUCCUGUUGACUUCUUGAUUUUGGACUUCUGGCCUUCAGAAUUGUGAGACAAUACAUUUCUGUUGUUUAAACCAUCAAGUUUGUAAUACUUGUUAGAGCUGCCUCAGGAAACUAUAUGGACAUCAUGAAUAUAAAUCUGUCAUAAUAUGCUGUCAGGGAGACAAGUUCAAAGAAAUUAUCAAUUAAAAAAAUGUACUAGUGCUCUCCAUACCUACUAGCCUAAAAAAAGAAAAGUUUUGUACAACUAGAAUUGUUAUGUAGUUUUCUGGCACCUGUCUAAAUUGAGAGAGUAAUACCAGUCUAAUCAGGAACAGUAAGAAAAACACAUUUUCUAUGAACAACUACAUCGUUCCCAGACCCUAACAUGUAAGUGAUAACAGUGAAUGUCAUGUCUAAUAAUGAAAAGUGCUGAAAUAACAAUAUAUUGCUAAAAUGAGCUUAUUAUAUAUUUUAUUGUGCCCAAAAGCAAAAUGAAAUUUUAUGAAGAGAACCAUAUUGGCUGUUUCAAUUUACCAAGAUAUUUAAAUAUAUACUCUUAAAUUUAAAAGGUAUAUCAUUAACACUAGAAAAAACUUGGGGGAAAAAAUCCCAUCAUCUAUAAUAAUCAUUUUCAUAGGUUAUCAUCAGACUACAUAUAAUAUGCAUUUUUCCAUGCUUAACCAUACAUUUUCCAUGGUUAAGGCACAGUCUAGAUUAGGUAAAUCAUAAUAUAUACAACUGUUCUUUUUUAACUGAUCAUUUUGGUUGCUUUUGAUCUUCUAAUACUAUUAACAUUAUUGUGUUGAAUAUCUGCAUUUAUUUUUUUCAUAUUUUAAAUUAUUUCCUUAAGUACAGAUUCCUGGAAGUAAAAAACUACAGUAAGUAUUUUUUUUUUUUAACAUUUAUUUUUGAGACAGAGAGAGACAGAGCAUGAACAGGGGAGGGGCAGAGAGAGAGGGAGACACAGAAUCUGAAAAAGGCUCCAGGCUCUGAGCGGUCAGCACAGAGCCCGACGCGGGGCUCGAACUCACGGACUGUGAGAUCAUGACCUGAGCUGAAAUCAGAUGCUUAACCGACCGAGCCACCCAGGCGCCCCAAAAACUACAGACUCCUUACUUUAUAAAAUGCACAUGUAUUCUGGAGACUGGCUGUACAACAAUGUGAAUACACUGGACACUAUUGAACUGUACACCUAAAAAUGACUAAGAUGAGAGAGCGCCUGUGCAUGUGUGAUUGAGGGAGGGGCAGAGAGAAUCUUAAGCAGGCCUCAUGCUCAGUGUGGAACCUGAUGUGGCACUUGAUCUCCUGACCCCAGAGAUCAUGACCUGAGCUGAAAUCAAGAGUCAGACGCUCAAAUGAUUGAGCCACCCAGGUGCCCCUAUCUUCUGUCAAUUUUAAUGUAAGCGUAUGUGAAUGAGGAAUUCCUUAUAACACUGGGAACUGCUUAGCCCAUCGGUGUCCUAAAUACUUUCAGUUCACUUAUAUAAUUAAUGUGACAGAAAAUCCUAGUCAUGCCUACAAAAUGUAAUUUAGAAAAUACACUGUAAAAUAUAAUUCAUUUACUGCCUUCUGUGUAAGUAAAAUCUUACAAAAUAAUUUAGCGAAGUAAUAAAUGCUGUAUCUAUUAAGAAAACAUUCAGUGCUUUUCUACAAAAUAUUCCAUAAAAUAUUAUAAUCAA